UAACACGUGGGUAACCUGCCCAAGAGAUCGGGAUAACACCUGGAAACAGAUGCUAAUACCGGAUAAAAGCUACUUUCGCAUGAAAGAAGUUUAAAAGGCGGCGUAAGCUGUCGCUAAAGGAUGGACCUGCGAUGCAUUAGCUAGUUGGUAAGGUAACGGCUUACCAAGGCGAUGAUGCAUAGCCGAGUUGAGAGACUGAUCGGCCACAUUGGGACUGAGACACGGCCCAAACUCCUACGGGAGGCAGCAGCC
rnacentral:rRNA from 1 species